rnacentral:misc_RNA from 1 species
GAUGAAGAACGUAGCGAAAUGCGAUAAGUAAUGCGAAUUGCAGAAUUCCGUGAGUCAUCGAAUCUUUGAACGCACAUUGCGCCCUCUGGUAUUCCGGAGGGCAUGCCUGUCUGAGCGUCAUUGUCAACCCUCAAGCUCAGCUUGCUGUUGGGUCCCCGUCGUUGCUUUAACGGCGGACCCGAAAGGUAAUGGCAGAGUCCGUGAGACCCUAGACGCAGCGAGCUUCUAGCACGCGUCUGGACGUUUUUCGGGCUCGGUCUUAACUAGAUGAUAACUUCCGAUUGACAUCAGAUCAGGUAGGGAUACCCGCUGAACUUAAGCAUAUCAAUAAGCGGAGGA